UACAGAGGUCUCAAGCGUUGUUCGGAUUCAUUGGGCGUAAAGGGUGCGUAGGUGGCGCCGUAAGUCAGGUGUGAAAUUUCGGAGCUUAACUCCGAAACUGCAUUUGAUACUGCGGUGCUUGAGGACUGGAGAGGAGACUGGAAUUUACGGUGUAGCAGUGAAAUGCGUAGAGAUCGUAAGGAAGACCAGUGGCGAAGGCGGGUCUCUGGAUAGUUCCUGACACUGAGGCACGAAGGCCAGGGGAGCAAACGGG
rnacentral:rRNA from 1 species